GAUGCAGAGUCAGAUCUCAAACCCCUUAAGAGCACUGCCUCUCUGAUUUCUUGUUGAGAUCAACAGCGUAGUAUCUAAGCACUUGCUCACAAAAUAAGUAUGAAGAAAGAAAUGUUGAAUGUGUGGAUUGCAGACAGCCUGCUCCUGACUGAGGUGAAGAGGAUCUGUAUCAUCAUUUCAACUUCCAUCCUUACCACCUGCAGAGUAAAAAAUGAAAUCUUGUCAUGCAUGACAAGGAUAGAUUUAUGCUUACCUUUGACCAUGAAAGGAAGGCAAGAAAAGUAAGAUGUUACGCAGAUCUGUAAAAGAAAUGCCACCUCCCAGCAAGACACACACAGUAACAAUGAGCAGCUAAACUUCUUGGCCCCCAAAAGAAAUGGAGGUAAAAAAAACUUUUGUUGCUAGGGCUAGGGCUAAGCUUUUGAGCACACAGAACAGGGAAAACAAACCUUAUCACAAAUGACAUAAAGGUCAGGAUUCUUCAAAUUAAAUGUAAACUUUUACAGCAUAUACAAUGACAUUUGAGUUAGUUACCCUUUGUUCCCUUUAAAGACAAUUUAUAUACCACACCUAUUUUUAAGAAGAUAUUUAAAUAUAUCAGAUGUACAGCAAACUAGAAGAGUCAAUUUCUUUUCUCUCUCUGUUACCCAUGGAACUUACUCAAGCGGAGUACAUUGUGCAUGUACUUUGUAGAUACAAAAAGACAGGUAACUCCAGUGUAGGAUGUCUUUGCUGUACACAGGAAGAAAAAAACCUGGAGAUCUGCAAGUCAGCUGGGAUUUAGCUUAAUGUAUGCUGAGAAGGAUGAGGCAGUUGAAUGCCACAUAAGAACACCACACAAGUCUGUGCCCCACCAACACAGGGGUGAUAGCUCAUAUCUGGUCUGUGCCUAGGUACAUCUCCAGGCAAUGAUAUUAGGAAUAAAUAAAUUUGAAGACAAGCUUAUGCUUGUUCUUAACUGAACUUGAAAUGAGAGAUUAAUCUUGAUAACUCAAGCCUGCUGUUAGACUUGGUGAUGAAAUGCUUUUAAAGUCCCUUGAAGUCUAAAAUAAAUGAAGACUAAAAUAAAAUAUAUGCCAUAAAUGUUCCCUGCCCAUAUUUAACUGUAUCGCCAAGUAUGAAUGAAAUACCUUAAUUGUUCUACAACAGACUUCUGUUGACAACACAGAUAAUAUCUAUCCCCUGAUUUGAUCUUAACUGUGUCAUUCCAGGUUUUAUACCAGUAAGAGUAAUAUGUCAAAAGGACUGCAGCUUUUUACAAUAUUGUAAUCUUGUUAGGGUAACUGCAUUUAAUUGGCUCCCCAGAUUCAUUUAUAGAUGUAGUGUAGCUGAAACUUCAGAGAUCUCUGGACACAUUGUUAAUAAUCCUUGAAAUAUAAAUAUUUAAUGGGGUUUGAGAAAAAUCUUACAAAUAUUUUUGCACACUGAAUGGCUCUGUGAGGUGCAAGUGAGGACCAUACUUUAAUGACUAUGACUACUCAACUUGAAGAUUAGGGUCUAUUGUUGUUUCCCAUUAUCAGAGUUAACUCAAGUGGUGGGGAUCAAAGCUUUGGUGUUGUAGGUGUGAGACUCAUCACAGGCUGAUGCUCUGUGAUUGGAAAUAUUGCCUACAGCAUUGUGGAAGGAUGAGGUUUCUGUCUAGUUGCAUAACAGUAACCCUGUUUCUGUAUUUCUUUUAAUGACAUCUUCACAGCUGGACUGACAUAAGUGCUUUUUUUGGGGGGGGAUUGUUCUUUUUUUUCUUAAUGUAGCUCAGACUACUAAUAGCUCUUAAUGUAAUUUGUACAGUUUGGGGAUUGCCUUCAUUCAGUAAUAUUUCCAUAAUAUAAGUAUUAAACCCAAUAAUAAUAACCAACACAGGUGAAUGAAAAAUAACUGGAGACAAUACUACA